UUGAGUUUCUACCUGAUAUCAUUUCCCUCAAGCCUUCAAUAGGUCUGCAGAUGAUGAGUUCCCUCGGCUUUAUCCCUGGAAACAAAUCUAGGCUGACAAUUCUUUCUUUUUGCUGGGAAUUUGACCAGAAAACUUGGAAUCUGCCAGGAAUAUUGUUUGAGAGAAGAAGGCCUUUGACAAAGCGUGGGUGAAGGCGGUGAUGAGAAACAAAGCAACAACGUGUCGCGUUUGGUCCUGUCACAUUCAGAAUGCCCCAUAAACCAGCACCGGGACAAACCUCAGAAAAGUCUGGAACAUUGGAACACCCCCUCAGA